UUUAUUUGAGAGUUUGAUCCUGGCUCAGGAUGAACGCUGGCGGCGUGCCUAACACAUGCAAGUUGAGCGAUUUACUUCGGUAAAGAGCGGCGGACGGGUGAGUAACGCGUGGGUAACCUACCCUGUACACACAGAUAACAUACCGAAAGGUAUGCUAAUACGGGAUAAUAUAUUUGAGAGGCAUCUCUUGAAUAUCAAAGGUGAGCCAGUACAGGAUGGACCCGCGUCUGAUUAGCUAGUUGGUAAGGUAACGGCUUACCAAGGCGACGAUCAGUAGCCGACCUGAGAGGGUGAUCGGCCACAUUGGAACUGAGACA
rnacentral:rRNA from 1 species